rnacentral:hammerhead_ribozyme from 1 species
ACCAGAUGACGAGUCCCGAAUAGGACGAAACGCGCGUUCUGGAU